rnacentral:rRNA from 1 species
CCUACGGGUGGCAGCAGUGAGGAAUAUUGGUCAAUGGACGAGAGUCUGAACCAGCCAAGUAGCGUGAAGGAUGACUGCCCUAUGGGUUGUAAACUUCUUUUAUAUGGGAAUAAAACGUUCCACGUGUGGGAUUUUGUAUGUACCAUAUGAAUAAGGAUCGGCGAACUUCGCGCCAGCAGCCGCGGUAAUACGGAGGAUCCGAGCGUUAUCCGGAUUUAUUGGGUUUAAAGGGAGCGUAGGUGGAUUGUUAAGUCAGUUGUGAAAGUUUGCGGCUCAACCGUAAAAUUGCAGUUGAAACUGGCAGUCUUGAGUACAGUAGAGGUGGGCGGAAUUCGUGGUGUAGCGGUGAAAUGCUUAGAUAUCACGAAGAACUCCGAUUGCGAAGGCAGUUCACUGGACUGCAACUGACACUGAGGCUCGAAAGUGUGGGUAUCAAACAGGAUUAGAUACCCCAGUAGUC